CCGUGGGGGAUCUGACUGAGCGGCGAACAGGUGCGUAACACGUGACCAAUCUGCCCCGAAGAUCGGGAUAGCCCGGGGAAACCCGGAUUAAUACCGGAUGGCCUCAUCGGACCUCAUGGCCCGGUGAGUAAAGGCUCCGGCGCUUCGGGAUGAGGUCGCGUCCCAUCAGCUUGUUGGUGAGGUAACGGCUCACCAAGGCGACGACGGGUAGCUGGUCUGAGAGGACGAUCAGCCACACUGGAACUGAGACACGGUCCAGACUCCUAUGGGAGGCAGCAGCAGGGAAUCUUGCGCAAUGGGCGAAAGCCUGACGCAGCGACGCCGCGUGGGGGAUGAAGGCCUUCGGGUUGUAAACCCCUUUCACGAGGGAAGAAGAUGACGGUACCUCGAGAAGAAGCCCCGGCCAACUACGUGCCAGCAGCCGCGGUAAUACGUAGGGGGCGAGCGUUGUCCGGAUUUAUUGGGCGUAAAAGGCUCGUAGGCGGCUUGACAAGUCGACCGUGAAAACCCAGGGCUCAACCCUGGAACGCCGGUCGAUACUGUCAUGGCUAGGGUCCGGUAGAGGGGAAUGGAAUUCCCGGUGUAGCGGUGAAAUGCGCAGAUAUCGGGAGGAACACCAGUAGCGAAGGCGGUUCCCUGGGCCGGCACCGACGCUGAGGAGCGAAAGCGUGGGGAGCAAACAGGAUUAGAUACCCUGGUAGUCCACGCCGUAAACGUUGGGUACUAGGCGUGGCGUCCUAUCAACGGAUGCCGUGCUCGAAGCUAACGCGUUAAGUACCCCGCCUGGGGAGUACGGCCGCAAGGCUAAAACUCAAAGGAAUUGACGGGAGCCCGCACAAGCGGCGGA
rnacentral:rRNA from 1 species